UAUGUUUGCCUAACUCUUUGUACACUGGCAGUAGCCCAAUUUGAAACACGUUGUCUUUGUAUCACUGAAAGGCUCUCUCCGAAUGUUCGGUCCAAAAGUGAGGUGCAUGGAACGUUUUGCCCAGCAGUGUAAUAUGACCCCAACAGUGACUUCUGGAGGAGCAUAAGUACGUAGUGAUCCAUCUUAGCGGAGGGGCAUUUGCAUACACAUUUGGUGCCAUGUGUAAAUUUUGCAUCAAAUUAAUCGAAAACCCAAAACAAUCAAUGCAUCAGUAACACAGUGUUCUUGCUGAUGGAGUCCUCUAUCUAUACUCUGAUAUAGGUGCUGCUUUUGAUUUAAUGCAUCAUAUAUGGACUAGUGAAAAUUGAACGCGGAAACGUGACUGUAGAGCAAAUUACUGUAAGAAGGCCAGAAGACUAGAAGAACAAUAGAUUCUUAAUGCGGGACACGAAACAAACUACAGAAGAAUUCCUGUAAAAUGAACAGCUCGCAGCUGAA